UAGCUUUUUCCACUAGCUGUAAGGC
rnacentral:piRNA from 1 species